UUCGGAGUUGGAAGAAACCUUUAGAAGCUGGUCAUUAUGCCAACUGGGUGUCCGCACUAAGUUUGGCACCAAUAUGGUGACUUGGGAGCGGAGGGCCACCAGGUUGCCUCAGGAUGGGUGAACUGGCCCAGGUCAGAAAGGGAGCCGGUCAGAACUCCCAGGUGGAUAGGUAGUGGGACUGCACCAGGGCAACAUAGUGAGACCUU
rnacentral:sRNA from 1 species